rnacentral:rRNA from 1 species
UAUAUGCUUGUCUCAAAGAUUAAGCCAUGCAUGUCUAAGUACAUGCCGAAUUAAGGCGAAACCGCGAAUGGCUCAUUAAAUCAGUCUUGGUUCCUUGGAUCGUACUUUACUACUUGGAUAACUGUGGCAAUUCUAGAGCUAAUACAUGCAGCAGAGCUCCGACCUUCGGGGACGAGCGCUUUUAUUAGACCAAAACCAAUCGGGCCUAGUGUCCGUGAACUGUGGUGACUCUGUAUAACUUUGGGCUGAUCGCACGGGCUCGUCCCGGCGACGUAUCUUUCAAGUGUCUGCCUUAUCAACUGUCGAUGGUAGGUUACGCGCCUACCAUGGUCGUAACGGGUAACGGGGGAUCAG